GAUGAACGCUGGCGGCGUGCUUAACACAUGCAAGUCGAACGAAACACCUUAUUUGAUUUUCUUCGGAACUGAAGAUUUGGUGAUUGAGUGGCGGACGGGUGAGUAACGCGUGGGUAACCUGCCCUGUACAGGGGGAUAACAGUCAGAAAUGACUGCUAAUACCGCAUAAGACCACAGCACCGCAUGGUGCAGGGGUAAAAACUCCGGUGGUACAGGAUGGACCCGCGUCUGAUUAGCUGGUUGGUGAGGUAACGGCUCACCAAGGCGACGAUCAGUAGCCGGCUUGAGGGGGGGAACGGCCACAUUGGGACUGAGGCACGGCCCAAUCUCCUACGGGAGGCAGCAGUGGGGAAUAUUGCACAAUGGGGGAAACCCUGAUGCAGCGACGCCGCGUGAGUGAAGAAGUAUUUCGGUAUGUAAAGCUCUAUCAGCAGGGAAGAAAAUGACGGUACCUGACUAAGAAGCCCCGGCUAACUACGUG
rnacentral:rRNA from 1 species